GCUUGUCUCAAAGAUUAAGCCAUGCAUGUGUAAGUAUAAGCAUUUAUACUGUGAAACUGCGAACGGCUCAUUAAAUCAGUUAUCGUUUAUUUGAUAUUUCCUUACUACAUGGAUAACCGUAGUAAUUCUAGAGCUAAUACAUGCGCAAAAUUUCGAUCCGCAAGGAGAGAAAUGUAUUUAUUAGAUAAAAAACCAAUCCGUGUUCUGCACGGUUUUUUGGUGAUUCAUAAUAACUGUUUCGAAUCGUAUGGCCUUGUGCCGACGAUGUGUCAUUCAAAUUUCUGCCCUAUCAGCUGUCGACGGUAGUGUAGUGGACUACCGUGGCGUUAACGGGUAACGGAGAAUUAGGGUUCGAUUCCGGAGAGGGAGCCUGAGAAACGGCUACCACAUCCAAGGAAGGCAGCAGG
rnacentral:rRNA from 1 species